GCCAUCCAAUCUUUGCGGUCAAACAUGGCGUUGCAACUUACCGAGCUCCACCGAAGAACAAGUGAAGUUAGCAUGCUAAGAAACCGAGAAUGGACAGGACAGGUGUCUGAAAAAUAAACGAAUUGAGAAGCCAGCCACAUUUGGCCUCACAACCAACAAUGGAGAGUUAAAAACAUUUUUUUUAUUUUUCAAAAACAGUAGAGUUAGCAUGCUUUCAGUGUUGCUAAUUAUGCUAAUGUAAACUACGUGUUGGCUAGCAGCAGAUGGAGAGAGGAGUAGAGGACCAUCAUAGCAACAAGUGCAGUGGGACGUUACUGUGGACACUUCAUCUCCAUGAAAAAGGAAAAUGGGCUUCAACAUCAAAUAACGAGCUGCAGAAGAGGAAUGGGAGGAAGACGUUUCCUGGAAUUUGAUGUUGUAAGGAUGAAGAUCAGAGUCAUAUGAUGGCUGGGAACUUUGAAGUGAAGCCGAGGCUCGGUAGCAGUUCUACAGCUAUCACAAAGCCUGAUCCAGGAACAUCAUUGGUGUCCAAAGAUGGCAGUGGAUUUCCUCUCUGGCCCCUGAUUGGAGCGCAUCUCAGCAACAACUUGACACUAUCCAAACUGCAGCGAUGCCGUGAUCCCACCGCUACUUACUUCACACAAACUACACAUGCUCUAAAAGUUAAAACACAAUUUUCGCAUCCAGAGCCAGUAAAACGUAUGAGAUGCUCCAUCCACACUCAAUCAAAUUCCAGGUCCUCUUAGUUUUCAGAGUCACAAAAGGUAGGUAUAGACCUUUAUGUGCAGGUUCCCUCCCUCUGAAGAGACAUAUUAACAGGCUUAUGUGACUAAUGGAUGUAGUGGGAUCUAAUUUAAAGCAGGGAGGGUAUCAAAUCCACGGCUGCACAAAGACAUUAAAGGAAGUCCUCUGGGAGGCCACAGAGUUUUGAUCCCUGCCGCCCCUCGUGGGAUGCCUAGUCGUUCAUUAUGUCGGAUAAAAACCAGAGCACAGAAAAAAGAAAAUACAGUAUUCUGUGCCUCUAAUGUGCCUGUAAUUUAUCGAACGAUACAAACGUUUGUAGUCUGGAUCGUCAUCACGUAUCAUGUCAGGACAGGAAGUAUUGGGGUGUGUGUUGUUUUUGAUGUGUGGUUGGGUAGAUUAUGGCCCUCAAAGAGAGGAGAGCUUAAGAGGAAUCCUUUAUGAAAAUAAUGGUGCCAUGUUGAGCUUCUAUUUGGCACGCCUUAUUAAUCUAAACAAUUCAAGAUAUCCAACUUGUUUUACAGUAGCAUUGCAUCUAAAUAAUUGUAUAUAA